UUCGGGAGUUGUAGCGUGCUCCUAUAAUCCAUUUACUCGAAGGCCUGAUUGGUUGGCCGGUUUGAGGAUGAGAGUCAUGGUAGUUGGUUUUAUAUGGCAAUCGGAUGCCCGUGCUAAGCUUGGCAUCAGUAUGGUACUGGAGAGGUAGCUCAUCAGGACCAGAUUGUCUAAGGAGGGUCACUUCGGCUGAGGGUGGAAAUGCAGCAAGCAAAAGACCCCGUGUCGAGCAGUAGUUGGAUCGCGCCUGUGAAUAGUCGUCGGCUGGUAGCCUGUUCGAUAUAUAAUUGGACUCCAACCUUU
rnacentral:SRP_RNA from 1 species